rnacentral:sRNA from 1 species
CCAUAAACGGGAUGGAAGCGGCAUCCUUUGGCUGUUAGCCUGAGCGUAAUACAGGGCUAGCCAAAGAUAUAGCGUACAGCACGACUAACG